rnacentral:rRNA from 1 species
GCAGUCGAGCGGUAGAGAGAAGCUUGCUUCUCUUGAGAGCGGCGGACGGGUGAGUAAUACCUAGGAAUCUGCCUGRUAGUGGGGGAUAACGUUCGGAAACGGACGCUAAUACCGCAUACGUCCUACGGGAGAAAGCAGGGGACCUUCGGGCCUUGCGCUAUCAGAUGAGCCUAGGUCGGAUUAGCUAGUUGGUGAGGUAAUGGCUCACCAAGGCUACGAUCCGUAACUGGUCUGAGAGGAUGAUCAGUCACACUGGAACUGAGACACGGUCCAGACUCCUACGGGAGGCAGCAGUGGGGAAUAUUGGACAAUGGGCGAAAGCCUGAUCCAGCCAUGCCGCGUGUGUGAAGAAGGUCUUCGGAUUGUAAAGCACUUUAAGUUGGGAGGAAGGGCAGUAAAUUAAUACUUUGCUGCUUUGACGUUACCGACAGAAUAAGCACCGGCUAACUCUGUGCCAGCAGCCGCGGUAAUACAGAGGGUGCAAGCGUUAAUCGGAAUUACUGGGCGUAAAGCGCGCGUAGGUGGUUUGUUAAGUUGGAUGUGAAAUCCCCGGGCUCAACCUGGGAACUGCAUCCAAAACUGGCAAGCUAGAGUAUGGUAGAGGGUAGUGGAAUUUCCUGUGUAGCGGUGAAAUGCGUAGAUAUAGGAAGGAACACCAGUGGCGAAGGCGACUACCUGGACUGAUACUGACACUGAGGUGCGAAAGCGUGGGGAGCAAACAGGAUUAGAUACCCUGGUAGUCCACGCCGUAAACGAUGUCAACUAGCCGUUGGGAGUCUUGAACUCUUAGUGGCGCAGCUAACGCAUUAAGUUGACCGCCUGGGGAGUACGGCCGCAAGGUUAAAACUCAAAUGAAUUGACGGGGGCCCGCACAAGCGGU